UACGUAGGUGGCUAGCGUUGUCCGGAUUUACUGGGCGUAAAGAGCGCGCAGGCGGUCGUUCAAGUCGAGUGUGAAAGCCCCCGGCUCAACUGGGGAGGGUCACUCGAUACUGAUCGACUCGAAGGCAGGAGAGGGAAGCGGAAUUCCCGGUGUAGUGGUGAAAUGCGUAGAUAGUCGGGAGGAACACCAGUGGCGAAGGCGGCUAUCUGGGCUGAAACUGACGCUGAGGCGCGAAGGCUAGGGGAGCAAACAGG
rnacentral:rRNA from 1 species